rnacentral:lncRNA from 1 species
AUGAAAUGUCUUGUAACACCUCUACAGUUACGGACCAGUAUAUGCUGCGGACCCCUACAACCACCCACUUGCUCCAGCAGCCACAUACAGCAUUGGUGCCAUGGUAAAAUAUACACUUACACACCUCUCUCUGUCUCCUCUUCCUUCCUCCUCUCGCUCUGUCUCCCCUUCCUUCCUCGUCUCUCUCUCCUUCCUUCCUCCUCUCUCUCUUCCUCCUCUCGCUCUCUGUCUCCUCUUCCUCCUCUCUGUCUCUCCUUCCUCCUCUCUCUCUGUCUCCUCUUCCUUCCUCUCUCUCUCUCUCUCCUUCCUUCCUCUCUCUCUGUCUCCUCUUCCUCCUCUCUCUCUGUCUCUCCUUCCUUCCUCCUCUCUCUCUCUCCUUCCUUCCUCCUCUCUCUCUGUCUCCCCUUCCUUCCUCCUCUCUCUCUCUCCUUCCUUCCUCCUCUCUCUCUUUCCUUCCUUCCUCCUCUCUCUCUGUCUCCCCUUCCUUCCUCCUCUCUCUCUCCUUCCUUCCUCUCUCUCUCUCUCCUUCCUUCCUCCUCUCUCUCUGUCUCCCCUUCCUUCCUCCUCUCUCUCUCUCCUUCCUUCCUUCCUCUCUCUCUGUCGCCUCUUCCUCCUCUCUCUCUGUCUCUCCUUCCUUCCUCCUCUCUCUCUCUCCUUCCUUCUCCUCUCUCUCUUUCCUUCCUUCCUCCUCUCUCUCUGUCUCCCCUUCCUUCCUCCUCUCUCUCUCUCCUUCCUUCCUCCUCUCUCUCUCUCCUUCCUUCCUCCUCUCUCUCUGUCUCCCCUUCCUUCCUCCUCUCUCUCUCUCCUUCCUUCCUCCUCUCUCUCUCUCCUUCCUUCCUCCUCUCUCUCUCUCUCCUUCCUUCCUCCUCUCUCUCUGUCUCUCCUUCCUCCUCUCUCUCUCUCCUUCCUUCCUCCUCUCUCUCUCUCCUUCCUUCCUUCCUCCUCUCUCUCUGUCUCUCCUUCCUCCUCUCCUCUCUUGCAAUCAGGUGUUUUUUCAUUCUCUCUUGCUUUUCUGUUUCCUUGUCUUCCUCCGUUCAUCCACCUCUCCCUCAAUCUAUCCCUCUUCACCUCUCCCUCCCUCUCCCUGAGGGACAGACAGACGGGCGGGUGGGUGGGUGGGCGGGCAGGCAGGCAGGCAGGCGGACAGACAGACAGACAGACAGACAGACGGGCGGGCAUGCGGACAGACAGACAGACAGACACAUCUACUCCGCUAACACAAGCAUGGUGCAAUGUGAUGUGAUUCCGUCAUACACAACAAAAAGAGCACGGUGUUGAUGUUGUUGUUGUUACUGAUGUUGUUAUGUGAUGUCGCCAUAUAUUAACCCAUUGUUUCUCACCCCUCUGAGUAGCCCCUGGCAUGAUGACCUGGCAUGAUGGCCUGGCAUGUCUGCUGGCAUGACUGGGUGCACGCUGCAUGUGGGGGGGCCAUGUCAUCCCACUGGGUUUGUAACGGUAACCUAACAAACCGUAAAUGACAUAGAGUUGGUCAGGAAGUAGUGUGUGGAGGGUAUUCUACACACUUCACAAGUAGACUUAGACAAGUGCUUUACAUAUACAGUACUUAUCUUUACAUAUACAGUACAUAUCUUUACAUAUACAGUACUUAUACAGUACAUAUACAGUACAUAUACAGUACGUAUCUUUACAUAUACAGUACAUAUACAGUACGUAUCUUUACAUAUACAGUACAUAUACAGUACGUAUCUUUACAUAUACAGUACAUAUACAGCACAUAUCUUUACAUAUACAGUACAUAUACAGUACUUAUACAGUACAUAUCUUUACAUAUACAGUACAUAUACAGUACAUAUACAGUACAUAUACAGUACAUAUCUUUACAGAUACAGUACAUAUACAGUACAUAUCUUUACAUAUACAGUACAUAUACAGUACAUACACAGUACUUAUACAGUACAUAUACAGUACAUAUACAGUACAUAUCUUUACAUAUACAGUACAUAUACAGUACAUAUCUUUACAUAUACAGUACAUAUACAGUACAUAUACAGUACAUAUACAGUACAUAUACAGUACAUAUCUUUACAUAUACAGUGCAUAUACAGUACAUAUCUUUACAUAUACAGUACAUAUACAGUACUUAUACAGUACAUAUCUUUACAUAUACAGUACAUAUACAGUACAUAUACAGUACAUAUACAGUACAUAUCUUUACAGAUACAGUACAUAUACAGUACAUAUCUUUACAUAUACAGUACAUAUACAGUACAUACACAGUACUUAUACAGUACAUAUACAGUACAUAUACAGUACAUAUCUUUACAUAUACAGUACAUAUACAGUACAUAUCUUUACAUAUACAGUACAUAUACAGUACAUAUACAGUACAUAUACAGUACAUAUACAGUACAUAUACAGUACAUAUCUUUACAUAUACAGUGCAUAUACAGUACAUAUCUUACAUAUACAGUACAUAUACAGUACAUAUACAGUACAUAUACAGUACUUAUACAGUACAUAUCUUUACAUA